UUUGAUUCGGUUCUAUGAAUGAAGAUUUUGUAUAGAGAAAUAGUUAGUUCAUAAACCCUAGAAAGCAGAGUGAAUUGACAUUUCUGUUGUUGCUGCGCUGCUGCAUUUCACUUCCUUCCCCUAAGCGCCAUGGCAUAAGAGAAGAAGCUUGCGAACCCUAUGAGGGAAAUCAAAGUGCAGAAGCUUGUCCUCAACAUCUCCGUUGGCGAGAGCGGCGAUCGUCUCACUAAAAUGAUGAGAGGUGUUUGAUGGAUAAAUCAAAGUGCAGAAGCUCCAUCCCUCGAUAGAUAAAUCGUCUUCCUCAAAUUGUCUCUACAAAUCAAAGUAUUCUAGAUUUGGAGAUGGCAACCAAAUUAAGAUGGUGUGCUUUCUCUGUAAUACAAAUUCUGGGAACUAUUGCAGUGAUGUCUCAGGUGGCAUGGCAAGUUUUCGCCAUUUUCAUUCCGGUAACUGCAGUCUGCAUAUGGUAUCAAGUAUGUCAUCCUUUCUCUCCUCCUUCAUAUUCCUAUGUCAUUAUCAUUACUAGUUAAAACAACAUUGAUUGUUGCAAUCUUUGUGAAGCACAUUAUCAAGGUUUAGUUAUUAUGAAAGUCUAUAGUUCACUCAAUUUUCAAUUCAGUCUCUAUGUGGAGGAAAAGGAAGAAAAAUGAAAGUAUAUGAAAUGACUUGGUGGUAUGGAAGACAAGGUGCUAAACUAUAGCUAUGCAAAUUUUGUGUCCAUGCUUUGGAAGCAAGAGCAAACAGAUAUUAGUUAGUUUUAGUGACCUUUAUUUAUGUGUUCAGCCACUUUUUUCCCUCUUAAUAUACCAUACUUGUAAGCUAGUAGUUCUCUUCUCCUUAUUUCAGUAUUUUUAUAUGUAUAGUUUCAUAAUUACCACACAUAACGGGAAAAAGUUUAGAAGUUGUUUUGUUAUUUAAUUUUACAUGUAUUUUAGUUUUUUUAUAUGUAUAGUUUUCUUCUUGUGAAUC